GGAGAUAAAGAGAAAUCUGUUUUAUAAUGUUCAGAGUAUCAUUAUUUUUGCUGAUGAAGCGCUGAUAAAAUUUGAUGCCUCAUCCACUGAAAACCAUGUGCUAAAUGAAACAACAUUAUCCAAAUCUUCUAAUUAUUUGUCAGUAAUUCAUUUCUAAAGACGAAGACAAAACGCUUAGAAAGACAGAGGAUGUGCUGAAGAAAAGAAUUUAAUUUUGAAUGUCUUACACUAACUAGCAUUUAAACGCCAAUCACUGACGUCCAUUCAGCCGAUAUACAUUAAGUGCCGACUACAUAAACAAACGAUUCUGAAACAAUUAACCCUAACCCUAACCCUACGGUUAGAGUUAGGGUUAGGGUUAGGGUUAAAGCAAAUUUAAAAUGAAAAAUGCAAAUAAAACGAAGCAAAGAUGAAAGAGAGCGGAAUAGCAUUGUUACUGCAUACUUCCUGUUUUAGAGGCAAAACGAGACAGAAUUCUUAACGUUUACGAAACAAUAUAUGUAUGUUGUUUCAUAUCCUAUAACAGUAUUUGGCGCUGUUGAAGCUUGUAUAGCAAAUAAAAAAAAACAGAAAGACAUUUUGUCUUAUCAGUUGAUAA